rnacentral:rRNA from 1 species
UACAGAGGUCUCAAGCGUUGUUCGGAUUCAUUGGGCGUAAAGGGUGCGUAGGCGGCGUGGUAAGUCGGAUGUGAAAUCUCGGAGCUUAACUCCGAAACUGCAUUCGAUACUGCCGUGCUUGAGGACUGGAGAGGAGACUGGAAUUUACGGUGUAGCGGUGAAAUGCGUAGAUAUCGUAAGGAAGACCAGUGGCGAAGGCGGGUCUCUGGACAGUUCCUGACGCUGAGGAGCGAAAAGCGUGGGGAGCGAACAGG